rnacentral:rRNA from 1 species
CCUACGGGAGGCUGCAGUGAGGAAUAUUGGUCAAUGGGCGGGAGCCUGAACCAGCCAAGUCGCGUGAGGGAAGACGGUCCUAUGGAUUGUAAACCUCUUUAGGCGGGGAGCAAUGCCGGGCACGUGUGCCCGGAGGGAGAGUACCCGCAGAAUAAGCAUCGGCUAACUCCGUGCCAGCAGCCGCGGUAAUACGGAGGAUGCGAGCGUUAUCCGGAUUUAUUGGGUUUAAAGGGUGCGUAGGCGGAUUUUUAAGUCAGCGGUAAAAUGUCCGGGCUCAACCCGGGCCGGCCGUUGAAACAGGGGAGCUUGAGUGGGCGAGAAGUAUGCGGAAUGCGUGGUGUAGCGGUGAAAUGCAUAGAUAUCACGCAGAACUCCGAUUGCGAAGGCAGCAUACCGGCGCCCGACUGACGCUGAGGCACGAAAGCGUGGGGAUCGAACAGGAUUAGAUACCCGAGUAGUC